rnacentral:rRNA from 1 species
AUUGAACGCUGGCGGCAGGCCUAACACAUGCAAGUCGAGCGGAUGAAGGGAGCUUGCUCCUGGAUUCAGCGGCGGACUGGUGAGUAAUGCCUAGGAAUCUGCCUGGUAGUGGGGGAUAACGUCCGGAAACGGGCGCUAAUACCGCAUACGUCCUGAGGGAGAAAGUGGGGGAUCUUCGGACCUCACGCUAUCAGAUGAUCCUAGGUCGGAUUAGCUAGUUGGUGGGGUAAAGGCCUACCAAGGCGACGAUCCGUAACUGGUCUGAGAGGAUGAUCAGUCACACUGGAACUGAGACACGGUCCAGACUCCUACGGGAGGCAGCAGUGGGGAAUAUUGGACAAUGGGCGAAAGCCUGAUCCAGCCAUGCCGCGUGUGUGAAGAAGGUCUUCGGAUUGUAAAGCACUUUAAGUUGGGAGGAAGGGCAGUAAGUUAAUACCUUGCUGUUUUGACGGUACCAACAGAAUAAGCACCGGCUAACUUCGUG